AUUGAACGCUGGCGGAAUGCUUUACACAUGCAAGUCGAACGGUAGAGGGGGCAACCCCUCGAGAGUGGCGAACGGGUGAGUAAUAUAUCGGAACGUGCCCAGUCGUGGGGGAUAACGUAACGAAAGUUACGCUAAUACCGCAUACGAUCUAAGGAUGAAAGCGGGGGAUCGCAAGACCUCGCGCGAUUGGAGCGGCCGAUAUCAGAUUAGGUAGUUGGUGGGGUAAAGGCUCACCAAGCCAACGAUCUGUAGCUGGUCUGAGAGGGCGACCAGCCACACUGGAACUGAGACACGGUCCAGACUCCUACGGGAGGCAGCAGUGGGGAAUUUUGGACAAUAGGCGCAAGCCUGAUCCAGCAAUGCCGCGUGCAGGAAGAAGGCCUUCGGGUUGUAAACUGCUUUUGUCAGGGAAGAAAUCUUCUGGGCUAAUACCCCGGGAGGAUGACGGUACCUGAAGAAUAAGCACCGGCUAACUACGUGCCAGCAGCCGCCGUAACAC
rnacentral:rRNA from 1 species